rnacentral:rRNA from 1 species
AUUGAACGCUGGCGGCAGGCCUAACACAUGCAAGUCGGACGGUAGCACAGAGGAGCUUGCUCCUCGGGUGACGAGUGGCGGACGGGUGAGUAAUGUCUGGGGAUCUGCCCGAUAGAGGGGGAUAACCACUGGAAACGGUGGCUAAUACCGCAUAACGUCGCAAGACCAAAGAGGGGGACCUUCGGGCCUCUCACUAUCGGAUGAACCCAGAUGGGAUUAGCUAGUAGGCGGGGUAAUGGCCCACCUAGGCGACGAUCCCUAGCUGGUCUGAGAGGAUGACCAGCCACACUGGAACUGAGACACGGUCCAGACUCCUACGGGAGGCAGCAGUGGGGAAUAUUGCACAAUGGGCGCAAGCCUGAUGCAGCCAUGCCGCGUGUAUGAAGAAGGCCUUCGGGUUGUAAAGUACUUUCAGCGGGGAGGAAGGCGGUGCGGUUAAUAACCGCGCCAAUUGACGUUACCCGCAGAAGAAGCACCGGCUAACUCCGUGCCAGCAGCCGCGGUAA